rnacentral:tRNA from 1 species
GCCUCCGUAGCUUAGUGGCUGGAGCAGCUGCCUCGUAAGCAGCAGGUCGAGGGUUCAACUCCCUUCGGAGGCU